GCGCUCUUGUCGGAGUGCCCACUUGGGCUGAGACCGCGUUACGCGGGAUCCGUUGAACCUGAUCAGGUUAGAACCUGCGAAGGGAACAAGGGUAAUGUACCC
rnacentral:ncRNA from 2 species